AAUGGAGGAAAGCUAUGAUGGAGGAGAUGGAGGCACUUGACAGAAACAAUACUUGGGUAAUGAUGAUGAUGGGAUAGCAUGCUUGAAGAAGAUGUUGGCAAAAUCAUUUGAAGUCAAGGAUCUGGGUUUUCUUCACUAUUUCCUAGGCAUUGAGGUUGUAUAUGGACCAGAAGGUAUUUAUCUAUCCCAGCGAAAAUAUGUGCUUGAUUUACUUGCUGAGACUGGGAUGCUAGGGUGUAAACCAGCUUCUACACCUAUAGAGUUGAACCAUCGUACUCGUGCUGACCUGGGUGACACACUAGAUAAACAAAAUUACCAGAGACUUGUGGGGCGCUUGAUUUAUUUAUCACAUACUAGACCAGACAUUGCAUAUGCUGUUAGUAUUGUUAGUCGAUAUAUGCAUGAUCCCAGAACCAGUCAUAUGGAUAUUGUAAAACGAAUCUUGAGAUAUCUGAAAAGCUGCCCUGGGAAGGGAAUUCUGUUUUCCAAGAA